CACCCCCAGGUGUACCUGAAGUCGCGCCUCACCUGCCUUCUGCUGAACUCCCACCUGGACUGGGAGGCACAGGAGGAGCCCCCUCCCCAAAAAGGGGUGAAGGACGAGGAGGGGGACGAGCUCUGGGACGCUCUGGAGUCCAUCCCCACCCCCAGGAAGGGCAAGAAAA